rnacentral:lncRNA from 1 species
GUUGGUUCCAAAAUCGGUUUUGUGACAUUUUUGUCCCAGUAGGCUACAAUUAGCAACAGUAUGGUAACUAUGGAAUAUCUCACAGCACUAAGAACAAGAUAGGUGGUGUGGAUUGUUGGACCUCUUGGUAAACUGAUGUCCUCGAGUUCUUUGACAAGAAACUAAGGUGCAAGACCGCACCCUGCAACAAUCUCAAAGGCAUGAUGUAAGAUGGUCGACAGAAUUUCUAACAAGCUCCUCCCACGACAUCGGCAGCCAUUUUAAGAGUGGAUGACCAAGGACAGAACAGUGAUAACAGGACUGAGUUUGCUUUUGGAAUGUGUACUGGCAUAUUAGGGGCUUUGGUCAAAUCAGCUAUAAUGUUCCCACUGAUAUGUAGUGGAUAAGUGUGGUGAGCAUUUCAUUUUCUCUUACUGCAUAUUUUUACUUCCAAACAUGUGCUUUUUGGUAAUCACAUGGACAUUUGUCUUUCAGAGUUUAAGGAGAACUAGU